GAUGAACGCUGGCGGCGUGCCUAAUACAUGCAAGUCGAGCGAACGGACGAGAAGCUUGCUUCUCUGAUGUUAGCGGCGGACGGGUGAGUAACACGUGGAUAACCUACCUAUAAGACUGGGAUAACUUCGGGAAACCGGAGCUAAUACCGGAUAAUAUUUUGAACCGCAUGGUUCAAAAGUGAAAGACGGUCUUGCUGUCACUUAUAGAUGGAUCCGCGCUGCAUUAGCUAGUUGGUAAGGUAACGGCUUACCAAGGCAACGAUGCAUAGCCGACCUGAGAGGGUGAUCGGCCACACUGGAACUGAGACACGGUCCAGACUCCUACGGGAGGCAGCAGUAGGGAACCUUCCGCAAUGGGCGAAAGCCUGACGGAGCAACGCCGCGUGAGUGAUGAAGGUCUUCGGAUCGUAAAACUCUGUUAUUAGGGAAGAACAUAUGUGUAAGUAACUGUGCACAUCUUGACGGUACCUAAUCAGAAAGCCACGGCUAACUACGUGCCAGCAGCCGCGGUAAUACGUAGGUGGCAAGCGUUAUCCGGAAUUAUUGGGCGUAAAGCGCGCGUAGGCGGUUUUUUAAGUCUGAUGUGAAAGCCCACGGCUCAACCGUGGAGGGUCAUUGGAAACUGGAAAACUUGAGUGCAGAAGAGGAAAGUGGAAUUCCAUGUGUAGCGGUGAAAUGCGCAGAGAUAUGGAGGAACACCAGUGGCGAAGGCGACUUUCUGGUCUGUAACUGACGCUGAUGUGCGAAAGCGUGGGGAUCAAACAGGAUUAGAUACCCUGGUAGUCCACGCCGUAAACGAUGAGUGCUAAGUGUUAGGGGGUUUCCGCCCCUUAGUGCUGCAGCUAACGCAUUAAGCACUCCGCCUGGGGAGUACGACCGCAAGGUUGAAACUCAAAGGAAUUGACGGGGACCCGCACAAGCGGUGGAGCAUGUGGUUUAAUUCGAAGCAACGCGAAGAACCUUACCAAAUCUUGACAUCCUUUGACAACUCUAGAGAUAGAGCCUUCCCCUUCGGGGGACAAAGUGACAGGUGGUGCAUGGUUGUCGUCAGCUCGUGCCGUGAGAUGUUGGGUUAAGUCCCGCAACGAGCGCAACCCUUAAGCUUAGUUGCCAUCAUUAAGUUGGGCACUCUAAGUUGACUGCCGGUGACAAACCGGAGGAAGGUGGGGAUGACGUCAAAUCAUCAUGCCCCUUAUGAUUUGGGCUACACACGUGCUACAAUGGACAAUACAAAGGGCAGCGAAACCGCGAGGUCAAGCAAAUCCCAUAAAGUUGUUCUCAGUUCGGAUUGUAGUCUGCAACUCGACUACAUGAAGCUGGAAUCGCUAGUAAUCGUAGAUCAGCAUGCUACGGUGAAUACGUUCCCGGGUCU
rnacentral:rRNA from 1 species